rnacentral:rRNA from 1 species
GACGAACGCUGGCGGCGUGCUUAACACAUGCAAGUCGAACGGAAAGGCCCUGCUUUUGUGGGGUGCUCGAGUGGCGAACGGGUGAGUAACACGUGAGUAACCUGCCCUUGACUUUGGGAUAACUUCAGGAAACUGGGGCUAAUACCGGAUAGGAGCUCCUGCUGCAUGGUGGGGGUUGGAAAGUUUCGGCGGUUGGGGAUGGACUCGCGGCUUAUCAGCUUGUUGGUGGGGUAGUGGCUUACCAAGGCUUUGCCGGGUAGCCGGCCUGGGAGGGUGACCGGCCACAUUGGGACUGAGAUACGGCCCAGACUCCUACGGGAGGCAGCAGUGGGGAAUAGUGCACAAUGGGCGGAAGCCUGAUGCAGCAACGCCGCGUGCGGGAUGACGGCCUUCGGGUUGUAAACCGCUUGCGCCUGUGACGAAGCGUGAGUGACGGUAAUGGGUAAAGAAGCACCGGCUAACUACGUG